rnacentral:lncRNA from 1 species
UGAAGGCUUAUACAAAAUAGUUUCCUGCAAACUCAAGUGGCUGGGAAGCCCAGCUGAAGGUUACUUCUACCCCAAGGCCAUGUCAGCAGAAAGUGGCCAACAGGACUUGGGCCUGAAAAAGCUCAGACUGAAUUUUAGGAGUGACAUCUGAAACUGCUGGUUUCUCACAAGGAAUAAAAGCUGUCUGGGAAGCUGGAGAGGCAGUGUGCUGUCUGGAGCAGGGACUUGCAAAUGGGAACAGUGAAGAGAGACAGCAUCUCCUUCCUCUGAAGAUUCUGUUCAGAAUGGAUAAAGGUUCAGCAUCCUCCCUGGAUGGGGCAGCUUAGCAGAUACAGGGUCUCGCCAUGAGCCACAGCACCUGGCCACUUCUCAUUUUUAAUACUGUAGAUUAAGACAACUGAGGUUAAGGGCCUGACUCCAGAUCACACAGCAAGGGAGAUGGCAAAAUCAAGAUUUCAACCCAGGAAACCUGCCUCCCAUGCCUAUGUUAAUCACUACACCCUUCCCACA